AACUAUUGUGCGCCGAGUGGAAAGAAACUUCACCAUUAAAAAUAGUCAAACAAUUACAACAAUUUUUUAAAUCUAUUAGACUGUCUCUAUAGUUUUACUAAUUACGUAAAACCUACUAUUUAGUUUCAAUUUAGGUUCUCCUAAGCAUUUGAGAGAAAUUAUUUUUCUCCUCGCAAUAAUCUCUCUAGUAUCGAAUAUUUUUAACGAAAACGACAUAACCACACUACCUUAUUGAAAGGGGGGCUAAAAGCUGAGACAAAUCCACACUGCACAUCAGAUAGAACCUUUUAGAAUAUAUCUUCGAUGAGAAAAAUGAAUUUCACACUUUAAACUGAUUUUAUGGGAUGAAAUUUGAUUGGAUAUGCAAUGGAGUACUUCAUAUUUGAGUUGAUAUUGACCUAAUUUGUAAUGCAAUUAAAGAGAGGAAAUAAACACAAAUUGGUCAAGUUGGUGUUUGAUGGGUGGCAAAGGGAACAUUAAGGUGAGUGAUUAACAAUAUAAUGUUGAAAACACAAUGAUCAAAUUGUACCAUGAUUAAACUUCAAUCAGUGUGACUCAUAUACCAUUAAUUAGUAAGAAACUGAUAUAUAAUUUGUAUUUAGUGGAACUAACUUAUGUCCUCUCUUUAAUAAUUAAUCUUAUGUUAUAUCACCCAGAAAAAAGGUUUAUAUUGUCUAAAAAAUAUUGAUAAAUUAUUCAAUAAAAGGUUUAUUAUGUUUUUUUUUUUCAUAAUAAUUAACAAACAAUGUGACAUUUUUAAAAUAAUAUAAAUCAGUACUAUAUGUGAUAGUUAUUGAUGGACAUAAACCAUUGACUAACUAUCACUAUAAAAGUCACUAACUAAUCUACAUGUUGAUCAACUAUAAUAAUUUUAUUUUAUUGUAGAUGCAAUUAUUUAGUAGCAUCAUUUUUAUAAUUUUUAAUCUAUAUUACAUAAAUUUGUAACUUCUCUUUGGUUUAUAUGGUAGAAUAUUGACAUUCACGAGUAUAAUAUCAAAUCAAGGAAUGAAUUAUAUAAUUAAGGAAUAGAUAGAAAAAUUAAAAGAAAUCAACAAAAUACCACUAACAUGCAUGAAUUAUAAUAUAAUAAAUAUUUUAACUUUUUUUAUAUAUAAAGUGCAAAAUAUCUAUUUAUAUAUAAUUUUUAAGUUUUGUUUUUAUUAUUUUCUCAUAAUCUUAUCGAUGUUUUGUCAAUAUUUUUCCUAAAAAUUAAAAUGUUAUUAAUUUUUUAAAUCUUCAAUAUUUGAUCCAUAUGUUUUUAGAAACAAGUAUUAGUAUAAGCACACAUAGUCAAUGUAAAUUUUUCUUACAUCUUAAUGAAAUAUUUUAGUUUAUUUUGAUAGCAUAAUUUCUUUUCUCCUAAAACAUUAUCCAAAUCUUUCUAAAUUAUAUAUUUUAUACAUGCACAAGAAAAAAUUUUAUUAAACAAGAAAUUAUUUUGGAUAGUUGACCAAAGUAUAAGCUUUUGAAAUGUUGAUUUUGUUGGAUUAUGAUUUCCUUAUUACAAUCGUGUUAUAAUUUAUUAUCAAUUUCUUGUGUAUUUUUUAUUUUUUGAUAUUUACAUCUAGCUAAUUUAUAAUUUUUCAAAAAAUACAAUAAAAAUUGUUGUACUUUACUUUUAUGAUAUUUACCACUUAUUUAUGUAAAUUCUCCUAUUUAUUAUUCUUUUUUUUAAAAAAAUAAUACUAGUAAAAACGGAUUAAUUAAGUACUUCGCUUUUCUUUGCAUAAUUAGGUUUAGUGCAAAAAGUAAAUGAACCAUUUUAUGCAAUUUAUAGCAAACAUAGAAUAGUUUUAUGGGUAGAUAUUUUGAACAGUUAGAGGAACACAAGCAAAAAGAACCUAUGAACUCGAUUAAACGUGGGAAAAUGGGAGAGGUUAAGGUCCAAACUGAUUGGUCGACCUCAAGUUCGAGCAAUCUUCGAUAUACUUUAGCAUGCUUUGGGUGUGAGUUGAAAACUCUAAAUAUGAAUAUCUAACUAGGUCAAAAUUUUACUAUAAAUGCACCGUUUUGAAUUCUGAAGAGAAGAAAGUCCAUUCUCAUUUGAAUUCUGAAGAGAAGAAAGUCCAUUCUCAUUUCGAAAGCUUUGGCUACAACCUAAACUAUUUUACUGACUUAAGACAUUGAUGGUUACAUGUCUUCUUCUUAAUUCUAAAUUCAUUAUUGUUGUGAAUUCAUCAAAUAUGUCUUCCAAUGGGAGGUUUCUCGGAACUAUCACUUCUUGAAAUGAUAUAUAUUUAUAUACACACAUACAUGUGUAUGUAUAUAUGUAUAUAAUAAGAUAAAGAAAGAAAAAAGAAUAAGAUGUGGUGUUUGCGACAAAACUUCUGAUGCUUAAGUCAACAAUCAACAAAAGAUUAAAGCAAGUUAGAGUCAGAAGGACUUACCUCGAGUGAUG
rnacentral:lncRNA from 1 species